CAACCUUGACGGCUCACUCACACCGAUCAAUCAAUAGUUACAGAAAAAGCGAUCCCUAAUUUCUGUCCACAGUAACACCGAUACCCAGAUUCUUCGCCGGGCAGGAAGCACGAUGUGCAACCCACCGGAGACGCCGCCGCUCUGCCAUUGCUGCCCGAGAUCCCCUGAUUGCCGCAGCUUCCUCAAUGGCUUGCCAAUUUCACCAGACAAAACUCCAAUUCGUCCCCCACCAUCUUCUCCCUGCUGGAACCUCGCUUCGUUGCCGCUGGAGACGCCCCAAUCCUCCACCGGCGACGACGCUGGUGAAUUCCAACUGCAUCCCUGCAGUUCCCCCACCUGAGACCCCCAUCCUCCACCCCCCAUGCUGGCCUGUGCAAUCCGUCUAGAGAUUCCACCGGCGUGCCUGCUAGGGUGACCCGGCAAUCCAAAUCCAAGCCAGGAGAGGGACCCUGAGGACCCGAGUAGUUGUUUACUUCCUUUUCUGAAGGAGAUGAGGCUCGCUCAGCAAAUGCAUGGGAGACUAAAAUCAUUCUCAGUAGAAACAUCACAAGGGAUUUGGUCCAUCGAUGUAAGUUCCGUCACUGGUGCUGGACGGCCACCCGCCGAUGCUGCUCGGCAGCCACAACCAUCAGCACGACCUCAACCACAAGUUCCUUGUGAUGCUAAUAUGGUGAAAACCAAGAACAUGCCUCCAACCAGGAGUGUGCACCAAUCUCACGCUGGACCUAGCACUGACAGGGAUCUCCAUGAAAGUGAUGAUGAUGAUGAUGCCUUCAUGGAACCCCCGCCAUGGCGUCGUGUGCUCAAGAAACAAUGCACCAAUGCAAAUUUAGCAGCCAAUGCAACUGCAAAGACUACCAAGACUCUAGUAAAGUAUGCUCAUGCUCCAACAGUUCGCUGCGCCCCUUCGACAUUCAACAAAUUUGUUGACAACUUGACCCUCAACCAGCGUAUUAAGAUCAUAGAGAUGGGUUUUGGUGGCCUCCUUGGUAUAUCUGCAGAGAGGAUAGGAAGCAGAGAACUAUUGAAGUUCUUGUUCGACAGGCUAGACCCCAACAGCAUGGUAAUCGAACUUGGCAAAAAUAGGGGAAUCCAUGUGACUCCCUUUGCCGUGAAGCAAGUGCUCGGCAUACCAGAUAGUGAUGAAGAUCUACCUCUACAAACAAACAACCAUGCAUCCAAGGCUCUGUCCAAACUCAAGAUUAUGUUGGGUCUUGAAGAAUCCCAGGACCUUCACGCGAGCCAUCUCCAAAAGAUCUUGAAGGAUGAUUUAGAGCUGUGCUCUAAUUUGAUUGAUGAUGAAACGGCAAUAAGAUUUUUCUUUAUCAUUGCUUCUAACAAGCUCCUGUUUCCUAGCACAGAUAACAACAUCAGAUGCAAGGAUAUUUACCUGACUAGGGACUUGUCUUGUUUAUCGGAUAUGAACUGGUGCAAGGCGGUUGUGGAUGACCUUAGACAUGCUGCUCAUGCAUAUCAUAUUGACAAGACAAAGAAAGGGACACCAUCGCUUCCUGGAUGUGCUAUAUUACUGAUUAUACUGUAUUUGGAUAACCUACAAUGCAAACACCAGAUCGAACACAUGAACACUCCUCGUGCAAAGUACUUCGAUCAAAAUGUUAUACAAAAGAUCACUUCUGCUGAUAGAACCAAGGACCAACAAGGGAAGGCUACGUUUGGGCUAUUACCGGUGAGUUCUAUUACUCAGUUUCUGUACAUUUUUUUAAUUUUUUUCCCUGUAUCCAUGUUGUUUUGUAAUGCCACUAUUUCACUCCACUUUUGCCGUGUGCAGCUUAAGAGUAGCAACAAUACUUGCUACUAUACGACCCAUCACCCAUUUUCAGAUGUGCCAGCAAACAAUGAACCAUUGGCUGCAUCUUAUUUCCCAAGUAUACUCGCAGAACUGGGUGGAUUUGUUGAUCAUAUUGAUAGAAGGACAAGGAAGUCGCAGGCAAGGGCAGCCCUGGCAAAGUUUGAUGCCAAAUCCAAGAAAGCGUCAAGCUAUAUGAACACGGGGCAACUGAUGUUACAGAAUGCACACCAGGAAGUUAUACGAAAUCUGCGGGCAAUUUUGCAGGACAAGGCGCAAGGCAACAUUGGUCAAGAUCAUCAUCAUCAACCCAACACUUCUGAUACAGCUCAAGCUGAUGAUGUCAGCAUGCAUGGUAGCCGUAAUGGUCAUAACAUGGGAUCUGAACAUGUAUUUGACAAAGAGGUUCCAUCUGAAACAAGGGAAAAUGAGUUGCAUUAUGGUGGCCACCCUAAUUAGGAUAGGCCUUUGCAGUUCGCACAAAACGGGGCACGAGAACCAGAUCUGUCAAACCAUGCAACUCUGCACCAUACCCAUGAUGAAACUUUCCCUCAGACUGAUAAUGUACAUUGUGAUAAGGACAUGGAAGGUGAACCUUCACUAGUUUCCUCUCAGGUGCAUGUUCACACAGGUCUGACUAGUGGUCAUGUACUACCUCCUGACGUGGCUGAUGGAGACACAACAGCAGCCUUGCCAAUUACUACUCAAGCCGGUGACGUUUAUAUGCAUGAUACUCACACUGGGCACAAUAUGGGAUUUGAACAUGAGUUUGACAUGCCAAUUCAAUUAGAAACAAGGGCAAAUGAAUUGCAUUCUGGUGACCACACCAACCAAGACAUCAACCACGCCACACCUAUGCAGUUGAAACAACACAUGGCCCUAGAAUCAGGGAUCCCAAUCCCUGUAGCGCAGCACAAUAGCCAUGAUGAUAGUUUCCCUCGUUCUGAUAAUCACAAUAUACAGGAUGAUAAGGAAAUUGAAGAUGAACCUUCACCUAUCUGUUCUCAGGUUCCCAUAAAUGUAACCAUUGAUCAACUCGUGCCUCCUAUUGCAGCUGAAGGAGCUACUGGCCCAGACAUUGCUGGCAUUGUAGGAAGCCAUCAUAAUGCUGAUGCUGCAACCUCAAGCUACAGUGUGACUAUACCAACACCGGGUGUUGUUUUGGACACCGACGAUCUAGAACCAUAUCAGAUGGAAGCAACUCAUAUGGCAACUGACGACCCCCUAGGCCAUGUUCUUUUCCAUCCUUGCACUCAAAACGAGCCCAUCCAGCGUCCAUCAAUUGUUCCUAGACCACAACGCCUUACCAAACGCCCAGCCAUGUACGUGUCACCUUUUAAAGGUGAUCCACAAUGAGCAAAAGUUCCUAUGUCAAAAGCACUUGCUGUAAGGAAGAAGUUCCACCCUCGCCUAAAGUGUUUAAGUGAUGUGUUCAUUCGCUAUGGUCUGAAAGAAUUCAAUGGAGAAGAAAUAUUCGAAUCGUUCGUUGAUGACGAAUGGCUUUCAACCAAAUUCAUGUCCUACUUUGUUGCUUGCUUGAGCCAUGAUGAAUCAAUCCACAUGGCUGAGGGUGUUGGAUACAGGGUCUUCCUAUCUCCAGAGAUUGGGGAAUAUGUAAAUAUAGAGGAAGAUGAGGACUUUUCCUAGUGGGAUUCUCCACCGGCCCUAGCCAUUUUAUAGCGUGACAUUGAGCACGUCGACCCAACCAAAGUAAAGCUUUUCUGUUUGCCUGUGAUGGAGGAGGACCACUAUAGUGUCUACUGCAUCAAUUUCAUUCACGAUCGGAUAGAUGUACUUGAUUCUAGUCCAGAAGACCACAUAAUUUAUCAUAAUGUUCUCGGUGACAGGAUCAUUCAAAGGCUUAAUCUCCUAUUCCAGCUGGCCACGGAUUAUAGAGUCAAGCAGUUUACUCGAUUCAAGCGCCCAAUAAUUGACGUAUGUAUGCACUCACACGAGAACGAUUGUGUAUUCUUUGCAAUCAAGUUCAUGGAGCUUUGGAAUGGUGAUUCUUUCCAUGUUCCCAUCCUCACAGCAAACGGACGUCUGUAUAGGUCUGAGCUCUUAUUCUACGGCCUCUACCAUCCACUGAACACUAUCAAGAAGCUCCCUACUGGACUAGUAGCAUACAGGCCUCGUCUGUGACCCUCCUGUCUCCUCCAAAUUAUCGUCGAAAUAUGUGUGCAAGUGAACAAGUCUGUUAUCAAUUUUUUCCCACUAGGACAAGACUGAGUUGUCCCAGGGUUGUCAGUUACUGUAUUGGAGUAAUUAUAGUUAUCUAUAAAAAAAAUUCUAGAAUACUAUGCCCAUAUCUAUGGCAUGGAAAUACUACUUUUCAAUGUUAAUUAUCAUGAUUCUGUACCAAUCUACUACCUUGUAUUAUAAGUUACUACAAUAAGAUGCCUAAUUACCAUAACUUAGUCA